rnacentral:rRNA from 1 species
AAACUCCAACCCAUGUGAACCUUACCUCUAUGUUGCUUCGGCGGCCGAAGGCCUCCCCUCGGGGGGGAAGGACGCCGCCGGAGGUACCAAACUCUGAAUUUUUUAGUGUAUCUCUGAGCCUGAAACAAAAUAAUCAAAACUUUCAACAACGGAUCUCUUGGUUCUGGCAUCGAUGAAGAACGCAGCGAAAUGCGAUAAGUAAUGUGAAUUGCAGAAUUCAGUGAAUCAUCGAAUCUUUGAACGCACAUUGCGCCCGCCGGUAUUCCGGCGGGCAUGCCUGUUCGAGCGUCAUUUCACCACUCAAGCCCAGCUUGGUGUUGGGGCGCCCGGUACUCCUAAGCGAGGGCCGGGGCCCCCAAGUUCAUCGGCGGGCUCGUCGGGACUCUGAGCGCAGUAACUCGCGGUAACACGCGCUUCGCUCGGUAGGUCCAGGCGGGUUCUAGCGGCGAAACACCCCCUUUUUUUUAAACAAGGUUGACCUCGGAUCAGGUAGGAAUACCCGCUGAACUUAAGCAUAUCAAUAAGGCGGGAGGAA